CUUAUCUGAGAGGGACAUUAUUCGAAGGUCAUAAGAGACAAUCCAGAAUCUAAUAGAAGACGAAGGAAGGGCUAAUGCACUGUAAUCGUACUGCAGCUGACGAACACUCGCCGGACUUGACCCCUGUCAGCAUCAUGAAUGAUUCAGUGAGCGGACUUUGGCUGACGGGUCAUUAUUGUUGUAACGGGAAGGUAAAACAAGUCUCGACUCUACGCACCGACGCUUUUCGCUCGUGCCGCAAAAUUGCAAGAAUAACGAGCUCAGUCAGCACGGUAUAAAGUUCCAAAGCGUCGAGCCGGAAUAAAGUAAUAACUGUAAUUGAUCUGAUAAGUUAUUACGCCGUCCAACCAAGACACGGAGGACAUCGAGUGGAGUCUCUCUACCAAGCCGAGUGAUAGCAACUUCAAAGAUACGUGGGAAGCACUAAAGAGAGGAUUAUGCGUUGAAGAACGCAUUCUAAAAAGGAUAGGCGAGUUAAAAAAGAAACGCGUGCAAAACGGCUUGUGGUCGUCUAGCGAAUGCGACGUUCUCCUGUCUCUUUCUCUUUCUCUCUUGCUCGCAUUAGCGGAAAACUUUGCCUUUCCCUUUGUCGCGUUUCCUGGAUAAAUCCAUUCUGCGGGUUGGUUUCGCUUUCAUCUAUACGUCGAGAGGAUAAUGGUACGUAUUCCCAAACGGCCGUGGCUACGAGGAGGAGCUUACUUUGCUUUAAGAGAACUCUAGGAAGAAGGCAAAGCUGUGUUUCCCAGAGAUGGCGCAAGGCUAUACUGUACUGUGGUCUACGAACACCAAGAAAGCUGUGCUCCACCAAAUCUUUUACACUAUAAGAUGAUCAAAGGAUAUCUACUUUUCUACUUUGCAACGGAGCUUGCCUGAUAUUUCGAGGUAAAAGUAAACAGUAAUGGAAGGAAACUGAGAAAGCACUGACAAAUAUCAGAAUAGAUAUAAAUGCGGAUGUCCGCUUUUCAUCGGCUAACAAUUUUUAAUAUAAAUAUCAUUUCUCAUUAGAUCGAGACCACACGUGCUUUGAGUUUUCCAUGAUUUUAUUUCACGUGUACGGAAUGCGAUGAACAGGCGAUCCUUUUGGUUCGUUCCUCUGAACUUUUUCGCAAAAGAAGUAAUACGAAUAAAUCGUCAAAGAUACGACCGGAUUGUGGCUGACAGGGAUGCUGCGGAAACGAGAUGAUACGUUUGUAGGAGGGUUCACACAAAAGAAAAAAGCAAGGCUUUUAAUGGGGAUUUUAAAAGCGUACCGUAAGGAUCAAGAAAUAAUGGAAAUUUCUUGUACAACUAGCUCAACGGAGGUCGGUAUGAAAGAAACUUUAAUAUGUAUAUACGAAUAUUUGAUAAUAUAAAGUUAAUUUAAGAAAAAUGAUAUGUAGAGCAAUAAAAUAAGGAUUUUUAUAUGAAAUAAGGAUAAUUAAUCCUAAUUGAACCUAAAUGAACGAAGAAGAAAUACCAAGUUCUUAAUCCUUCGAAUUUUCACAGAGAAAAGACCAAUUCUUAAACCGAGACACGUGUAUCAUUUAACCAGAUAUAUUUUACAUUUUCUACCAAGUCAAGUUGAGAAACGUUGCUUCCUAGAAUAAAAAUAACCUCGGCUUUUCACGGGUAUCCCUUAACUCGCAUAGCUUUUCUACCUUGACAGAAAAGACAAGGAAUUCUAGAAAAUGUUCGCGAUUCGGUUUACGAUCUUCGUCGCUUGUGAGAUUCUCGUUAUCACGGUAUGCCUGUCUACCCAUAAAAUUAGCCAUAAAAGACAGCUCGCGUUUCGGAAGGACAAGAUUUUUAGUACGUUGAAGAGGGUAUCGCCAUAAUCCUUCGAAGAUACAAAGCUGUGCUUGGUGCUAUUUUAUCUUUGAACUAAAUAGAGAGCAAGAUAAAGAGGAAGAUAAAGAGAAAGAAAGACAGAGUGAGAGAAAGGGAGACGGAUAGAGAGGUUUAUCCUUCGUCCAUCUUGUCCAAGCAAUUGUCUCUCUCUCGCUCCCCUCUCUCUCUUUUUGUCUUUCUCUUUGGUCUCUUUGUUUUCAGGACCGGCGCUAGAGACCGCUGGCGAACGCAAUAAAACCUUAUUAUACUCGGUUGGAAUUUCAAUGGGUGAAGAGGAAGUGAGAAGAGCGUCGGUGCAAGGUAGAUGGGCUGGGAGUAGCAGGGGUACGAACGAAGUGAUCGAUGAGGACAUACGUCAACGGAGCAGAACGGACAGGACGUCGACGCUGUCGGGGAAGCCGCCGUGCACGAGACGAGAUGAGAAGGACGAGCACGUCGGAAGGAAAGGCUGAUGCUUUUAUUUCAUCUUGGAGAGUCAAUAAAUCGUACAGUAAUUUGGUAAAGACGGUGAAUGCUACAUAAGCGCGUAAAAGGGAAAUACAGGAGGUGAACGGUACUGGUGGACUGUCGCGCAAUCUGCACUGUCAUCAAGGCGCUACAACGAAAAGGACGAAGAGGAGAACGAAAGCAUGGCAUGCAGCACGCCAUGACGCAUCGUAUGCGUGGCUCGUACCUACACCUACCUAAGCGCCAUAAAUUUGAACUCGACUUAUCUCACUUCUCCUAUCGAAACGCUCCCUUUCACCUCAAUACUAUCGUCCCUUCCACCGAAAGAAAUAGUCGGACGGUUUGUGAGACACCGAUUUCAGAUCAGAUUUCCGUACCAACGAAGUAUUCGAUCGUUUAAUAAGCUCGAUAAGAUCAGAAACGUCGAUAUAUCGAUGUCUGAGCACAUACGUUCUCUCUCGAGUGGACUUAAAAGGGGAAAAGGAUGGACCAACUCGUCGAAAGUGAUAAACAGUUUCCGAGGGAAGCGUCGUAUACAACAUUCGAACGUGUCAAUUGUAGUCUGUGUAACGAGGCGAAAAGGACGAGCUUGAGAGCACUGAGAGAAGUAAGCGCGAAAAGAAUGCUUCACGCGAGAAGAUAAGCUGCGAACUCGCUUUGUUCGGACAAUCGACCGAAAGUCUUGCCUCGACGCAGCUCGUUAACCACCUUCCUGUACUGU